GUCACCAACACCGCCAUGUGGGGCCCUGCACCACUGUGCUUCUUCCUGAUCGCAACAGACCCGAGCGAUCUGCGAGCUGCCGCAACAACCGCGCCAAGACCCUACUGGUGCCUAAAAAUCCCAAGGCACCGACCCCUGCGGCUAUUCACAGGCACUCCUUUCGCCUCAUAGAGAGUAAUCACCAUGGGGAGAGAAGGUAGAAGGGAGUAGAGGUCUAGGGCGUUGCCGACGUCGUCUUCUGCCAUCACGUCAUCCAGUGCUCGUGUGGAGGUCCUGGGGAACCAACGUGCCGUAAGGGACCUGGGCGAACCUCUCUCGUGCAAGGAUUCGGCCGGGCUCGCCGGGAAUUUCUCACUGACGCAAGCCACUGCCGUGGAUCGAGCUCUGCUGUGGCCGGAGCGCUACGCGACAGACCCUCUGGUGAAGAGCAGGUGGCCUCGGAGGAACACUACUACGAGGAGUUUGACGAGGUCUAGGAGUCGUCUCCCAGUCGACUUAAUGGCGUCAAGGAAAUAAUAUUAGUUCAUUUUAUUUUUAUCAGUUAUUUUGUAAGACAUUCUCGUUAUGUAAUAAUGUUUGUGACAUUUAUCUCUAUACACUUGGUCAUUGUA